rnacentral:rRNA from 1 species
AGGUGCUAAUACCGCAUAACCAUCAAAACCGCCUGGUUUUGAUGUUAAAGAUGGUUCUGCUAUCGCUUUAAGAUGGACCCGCGGCGUAUUAGCUAGUUGGUGAGGUAAUGGCUUACCAAGGCAAUGAUACGUAGCCGAACUGAGAGGUUGAUCGGCCACAUUGGGACUGAGACACGGCCCAAACUCCUACGGGAGGCAGCAGUAGGGAAUCUUCCACAAUGGACGAAAGUCUGAUGGAGCAACGCCGCGUGAGUGAAGAAGGUUUUCGGAUCGUAAAACUCUGUUGUCAGAGAAGAACGUGUGUGAGAGUAACUGUUCACGCAGUGACGGUAUCUGACCAGAAAGUCACGGCUAACUACGUGCCAGCAGCCGCGGUAAUACGUAGGUGGCAAGCGUUGUCCGGAUUUAUUGGGCGUAAAGGGAACGCAGGCGGUCUUUUAAGUCUGAUGUGAAAGCCUUCGGCUUAACCGAAGUCGGGCAUUGGAAACUGGGAGACUUGAGUGCAGAAGAGGAGAGUGGAACUCCAUGUGUAGCGGUGAAAUGCGUAGAUAUAUGGAAGAACACCAGUGGCGAAAGCGGCUCUCUGGUCUGUAACUGACGCUGAGGUUCGAAAGCGCGGGUAGCAAACAGGAUUAGAUACCCUGGUA